AUUGAACGCUGGCGGCAUGCCUUACACAUGCAAGUCGAACGGCAGCACGGGAGCAAUCCUGGUGGCGAGUGGCGAACGGGUGAGUAAUAUAUCGGAACGUGCCCAGUCGUGGGGAUAACGUAGCGAAAGCUACGCUAAUACCGCAUACGAUCUAUGGAUGAAAGCGGGGGAUCGCAAGACCUCGCGCGAUUGGAGCGGCCGAUAUCAGAUUAGGUAGUUGGUGGGGUAAAGGCUCACCAAGCCAACGAUCUGUAGCUGGUCUGAGAGGACGACCAGCCACACUGGAACUGAGACACGGUCCAGACUCCUACGGGAGGCAGCAGUGGGGAAUUUUGGACAAUGGACGCAAGUCUGAUCCAGCCAUUCCGCGUGCAGGAUGAAGGCCCUCGGGUUGUAAACUGCUUUUGUACGGAACGAAAGGUUUCUAUUAAUACUAGGAGCUCAUGACGGUACCGUAAGAAUAAGCACCGGCUAACUACGUGCCA
rnacentral:rRNA from 1 species